GGGCACGUUGCGAUCAUUGCCAGCGUCGGUACCGACACGCUGCACGCCCGAUUUCACUGGGUUUGCAGCGUUUCUAGGCAACUCAUAAUCCUUGGUCCACGGUUCGAGUCCGUGUGGGCCCACCA
rnacentral:tRNA from 1 species